GCUUUCCCUCCAGAGUGGAUCCUGAGUACGACGGAACACGUGUAAAUCCGUCGGAAUCCGGGAGGACCAACUCCCAAGGCUAAAUACUCCCUAGUGACCGAUAGGGAACCAGUACCGUGAGGGAAAUGAGAAAAGCACCCCGGAAGGGGAGUGAGACAGAUCCUGAAACCGGGUGACUACCAGGAGUUAUAGUCCGUUAAUGGGUGCUAGCGUGCCUUCUGUAGAAUGAACC
rnacentral:rRNA from 1 species